AUGAUUCUGGACGACGGAGGUGACCUCACCAACCUCAUCCACACCAAGUACCCACAGCUCCUGCUGGGCAUCCGAGGCAUCUCUGAGGAGACCACAACUGGGGUCCACAACCUCUACAAGAUGAUGGUCAAUGGGAUCCUGAAGGUGCCUGCCAUCAACGUUAAUGACUGUCACCCAGAGCAAGUUUGACAACCUCUAUGGCUGUCGGGAGUCCCUCAUAGAUGGUAUCAAGCGAGCCACUGAUGUGAUGAUUGCCGUCAAGGUAGCAGUGGUAGCAGGUUAUGGCGAUGUGGGCAAGGGCUGUGCCCAGGCCCUGCGGGGUUUCAGGGCCCACGUCAUCAUCACCAAGACUGACCCCAUCAAGGCACUGCAGGCCGCCAUGGAGGGCUAUGAGGUGACCACCAUGGAUGAGGCCUGUCAGGAGGGCAAUAUCUUCGUCACUACCACAGGCUGUGUUGACAUCAUCCUUGGCCACCACUUUGAGCAAAUGAAGGAUGAUGCCAUCGUGUGUAACAUUGGACACUUUGAUGUGGAGGUCAAUGUCAAGUGGCUCAACGGGAAUGUUGUGGAGAAGGUGAACAUCAAGCCGCAGGUGGAACAGUACUGGCUGAAGAAUGGGCGCCACAUCAUCCUGCUGGCAGAGGGUCGGCUGGUCAAUCUGGGUUGUGCCAUGGGCCACCCCAGCUUCGUGAUGAGUAACUCCUUCACCAACCAGGUGAUGGCUCAGAUCGAGCUGUGGACUCACCCUGACAAGUACCCUGUUGGGGUUCACUUCCUGCCCAAGAAGCUGGAUGAGGCAGUGAUUGAAGCCCACCUGGGCAAGCUGAACAUGAAGUUGACCAAGCUGAAAGAGAAGCAGGCUCAGUACCUGGGCAUGUCCCGUAAUGGCCCCUUCAAGUUGGAUCACUACCGCUACUGAGAGCCAGGUCUGUGCUUUGCCUUCCAGCUGCUGUCCUUGCCCAGGCCCCACCUCUCCUCCCUAAGAGUAAAUGGCACCAACUUUGUGAUUGGUUUGUCAUUGUCCCCCAUGGACUCUCUGGGGCUGGUCACUCAAUUUUUGGCCUCUGCUGCAGCCCUCAUACUGUUCCAGGUGUGGCAGUGGGAACUGAGAGGGCCCUCCUCAAGCCCUGGUCAUGAUGGAGGUGCCAGCCAUGAGAACCAUGAGCUCAGUGGUCUUGGAGCUGCUCACCUUCCUUAGCCUUGAAGUCAGCAGUGGAGUCACAAAGCCCAUGUAUAUUUUGCCAUCUAGGCCUUCACCUGGUCUGUGGGCUUAGACCUGUGUGCUUGGUUUACAGGUCCAGUGGUUCCUAAGUGCAUGACAGAUAGAUGAGAGAGAAGUAUAUUGAAGGGCAAAGAGGAACUGUUGUUUGAAUUUUCCUCAGGGCCUGGCUUAGUGCUGGGCCUUCUCUUAAACCUCAUAACAAUGAGGUUAGUACUUUUGUUUUACAGGGGUUAGAAUUAACUGUUAAGAGGCAACUGAGAAAGAACAGAAAAGUGACAGUUGGAGGUUGAAAGGGGCCAGAAAAACAUAAAAGCAGGCAUAGCUCUGCCACCACUUUGUAACCAGAUGGUUUCUAUCACAACCCUGCGUC